rnacentral:rRNA from 1 species
GACGAACCGUGCGAACGUUGUUCGGAAUCACUGGGCUUAAAGGGAGCGUAGGCGGGCUAUCAAGUCUGGGGUGAAAUCCCGCGGCUCAACCGCGGAACUGCCUCAGAUACUGACGGCCUCGAGGGGGAUAGGGGCAUGCGGAACUGUAGGUGGAGCGGUGAAAUGCGUUGAUAUCUACAGGAACUCCGGUGGCGAAAGCGGCGUGCUGGAUCCCUUCUGACGCUGAGGCUCGAAAGCUAGGGGAGCAAACGGG